GGUUUGAUUAUGGCUCAGAUUGAACGCUGGCGGGAUGCUUUUUACUACAGCUGCAAGUCGAGCGGCAGCACGGACUUCGGUCUGGUGGCGAGUGGCGAACGGGUGAGUAAUGUAUCGGAACGUGCCUAGUAGCGGGGGAUAACUACGCGAAAGCGAGGCAACACGCCACCUCGGGUGCGAUCUUCGGCUCGAGAAAGCCAAUAGACGGCCGGAUAUCGGAUUAGCUAAAUGUAAACAUCGUAUGCGACGACCGUAGCUGGUUGAGAGGACAACUGUUACACUGGGACUGAGAUUACGCCCAUAGACCCUACUGAGGCGUAUGGGAAUUUUGACAAUUGGGGAAACCCGACCUGCCAUCAUCCCGCGGCGGCGAUAAGGCUUAAUGUAACACUUUGCAGGAGAAACGGCGCCGGGAUAUUCGCACCUGACGGUACUCCUGUAGAAUAAGGUAUACUGUCAACUACGGCCAGCGCCGGCAGUUACCGGUGCGGCAACGAAUUAUUGGCGUAGCAUGGCAGGCGGUUCCGGAAGAGGCGAACCCAGAGCGUAACUUUGAACGCAUUUUAAUCAUCGACAGAGCGUACUGAGGAGGGAAUCAUAGGCAGAAAUAUGUAGAUAUGCGGAGGUCACCCGAUGGCGAAGGCAACUCUGUUACCGACCCGUGCACGAAAGCAGCAGAUAAACAGAACAUUGUUCUUGUAGUUCCACGCCUUAAACGAUGUCAACUAGCUGUUGGGGCCUUCGGGCCUGGUAGCGCAGCUAACGCGUGAAGUUGACCGCCUGGGGAGUACGGUCGCAAGAUUAAAACUCAAAGGAAUUGACGGGACCCGCACAAGCGGUGGAUGAUGUGGAUUAAUUCGAUGCAACGCGAAAACCUUACCUACCCUGAUAUACCUGGAAUCCCGGAAGAGAUUUGGGAGUGCUCGCAAGAGAACCGGAACACAGGUGCUGCAUGGCUGUCGUCAGCUCGUGUCGAGAUGUUGGGUUAAGUCCCGCAACGAAAGGCAACCCCUGUCAUUAGUUGCUACGAAAGGGCACGACAGACUGCCGGUGACAAACCGGGAUGUUGCGGGGAUGACGCCGUCCUCACGGCCUCCAGGUAGGGCUUCACACGUCAAGUACAAUGGCCCGGACAGAGGGUCGCCAACCCGCGAGGGGGAGCCAAUCCCAGAAACCCGAUCGUAGUCCGGACGCAGUUCGCAACCUCGACUGCGUGAAGCUGUGGAAUCGCCAGUAAUCGCGACCAGCAUGUCGCGGUGAAUGCUGUUCCUGGCCCGUACAUAUAUCUGCCCGUCACACCAUGGGAGUGGGUUUUACCAGAAGUAGUUAACUCAACCGUAAGGAGGGCGAUUACCAUCAGAUUCAUGACUGGGGUGAAGUCGUAACACAGC
rnacentral:rRNA from 1 species